rnacentral:rRNA from 1 species
GGACACUGCGGGAAGUCCAUUGAACCUUAUCAUUUAGAGGAAGGAGAAGUCGUAACAAGGUUUCCGUAGGUGAACCUGCGGAAGGAUCAUUG